UGAGGAACAUGACCUUCGGCGGGGGAUAGCCGGCCCAACGGCCGGGUAAUACCGCGUACGACCACUUUGGGACAUCCCUCGGUGGUGAAAGCAGCAAUGCGCCGAUGGAGUGCCUCGCGGCCUAUCAGCUAGUUGGUGAGGUAACGGCUCACCAAGGCGACGACGGGUAGCUGGUCUGAGAGGAUGGCCCAAACCACAGUUGGGACUGAGACACGGCCCAGACUCCGUACGGGAGGNAGCG
rnacentral:rRNA from 1 species